rnacentral:rRNA from 1 species
UGGGUGAUCUGCCCUGCACUUCGGGAUAAGCUUGGGAAACUGGGUCUAAUACCGGAUAGGAACCAUCUUUAGUGUGGUGGUUGGAAAGUUUUUUCGGUGUAGGAUGAGCUCGCGGCCUAUCAGCUUGUUGGUGGGGUAAUGGCCUACCAAGGCGGCGACGGGUAGCCGGCCUGAGAGGGUGUACGGCCACAUUGGGACUGAGAUACGGCCCAG